GAAGCACGCCAGACCGCCGCUGGUGCAAGUGCCGAAAGGCCGCACUGGAGGAACGUCCGGACUGCACAGGACAGCGUAGCAGCUAACGGCUGCCCACCGUGAGGUGAGGAUCAGAGCAACAGAGACGAGUCCCAGGGGAGUGCCGCAAGGUAGACCACUGGGGGUGAAACGGGCAAUCUCUACGCGCAGCAAUACCAAGUAGGCCAGCGUUGAUGUGGUUCCGCAGAGCUGGCGGGUAGGUAGCAUCGAGCCGGGUGGGCGACCCCCGGCCCAGAGUAAUGGCGGUCACGCCCGGGCAACCGGGUGCACAGAAUCCGGCUUAUCGGCGCGCUUCACAC
rnacentral:RNase_P_RNA from 1 species